rnacentral:rRNA from 1 species
UACGGGGGGAGCAAGCGUUGUUCGGAUUUACUGGGCGUAAAGGGCGCGUAGGCGGCCACCGCAAGUCGACUGUGAAAUCUCCGGGCUUAACCCGGAAAGGUCAGCCGAUACUGCGGGGCUAGAGUGCAGAAGGGGCAACUGGAAUUCUCGGUGUAGCGGUGAAAUGCGUAGAUAUCGAGAGGAACACCUGCGGCGAAGGCGGGUUGCUGGGCUGACACUGACGCUGAGUGCGAACGAACUAGGGGAGCGAACGGG